rnacentral:lncRNA from 1 species
UACCCGUUCUAAAUCCGUUUAACACUAUCCGCAUAAUAUCCGAACCCAACCGAACCUGAUUUUUUAUAUCCUUUUUGAAUGUGGCGAAGUCAAUCUUAUAAUCAACUUUGGAUUUGAGAGAGCCACAAAGGAAAAUUAUCCUUGAACACAGCUAGCUAUGACAUUAUCCUCCAUUCUCAGCUUAUUCUUUUCCCACGCUGCCUCCCACAAGCCACAACCCCAAACCUUGUUUUCUUCUUCCUUUUGACGAAGAAGAAAAGGCAGAAGAAAAAGUAGUAGUAAUAGUAAUAAAAAUAAUAAAUCACCCCAUCAUAACUGUUAAUAGUAUCCAAAUAAUCAAAUUAAUAUUCCAUAAAUUAUACAAAUCUUUAAUAGCAACUAAACAUUCUUUAACAACAUGCACAUAAAAGAUCUUGAUUAUCAAAAAAUUUGAUUGCAAACCUGAAGAGAGUUCCAGUCAAAGGAGAUGUCGCCGACGCCGAUUGGGGAGAGAAGCGUCAAUAGGAAAGAGUAGAUGUCACCGACUGGGGAGAGAGAAGGAGAUGUGGCCGAUGCCGACCGGGGAGAGGGAAGAGUUGUCUCCGACUGGGAAGUGGGAGAUGCGGCCACUGAAGAGAGAGAAGGAGAUAUCGGGAGAGAGAAGAUCUAUUGUCGACUGGGAAGAGAAGUAGACGUCGCCGAUGCCGAUUGGGCUGCCGGCAG